GAUGAACGCUGGCGGCGUGCCUAAUACAUGCAAGUCGAGCGAACAGACGAGGAGCUUGCUCCUCUGACGUUAGCGGCGGACGGGUGAGUAACACGUGGAUAACCUACCUAUAAGACUGGGAUAACUUCGAGAAACCGGAGCUAAUACCGGAUAAUAUAUUGAACCGCAUGGUUCAAUAGUGAAAGACGGUUUUGCUGUCACUUAUAGAUGGAUCCGCGCCGCAUUAGCUAGUUGGUAAGGUAACGGCUUACCAAGGCGACGAUGCGUAGCCGACCUGAGAGGGUGAUCGGCCACACUGGAACUGAGACACGGUCCAGACUCCUACGGGAGGCAGCAGUAGGGAAUCUUCCGCAAUGGGCGAAAGCCUGACGGAGCAACGCCGCGUGAGUGAUGAAGGUCUUCGGAUCGUAAAACUCUGUUAUUAGGGAAGAACAAAUGUGUAAGUAACUAUGCACGUCUUGACGGUACCUAAUCAGAAAGCCACGGCUAACUACGUG
rnacentral:rRNA from 1 species